rnacentral:rRNA from 1 species
UACGGGGGGGCAAGCGUUGUUCGGAAUUACUGGGCGUAAAAGGGUUCGUAGGUGGCUGGCUAAGUCAGACGUGAAAUCCCUCAGCUUAACUGGGGAACUGCGUCUGAUACUGGAUGGCUUGGAUCCGGAAGAGGGAUGCGGAAAUUCCAGGUGUAGCGGUGAAAUGCGUAGAUAUCUGGAGGAACACCGGUGGCGAAGGCGGCAGUCCUGGGCCGGUAUUGACGCUGAGGAGCGAAAGCCAGGGGAGCAAACGGG